UCCUGAUGGCUCACAUGAAGUUUCGUGCCGUUCCGACCUCGUUUGAUACGGUUAUGGUUAACCACACGGCCCCUCGGGCCCGACCCGAGCCCAGUCAACGUUUUGACCCGAUCAAAUCGGCCCGUGACCCGAAACGACCCUACUUGGGCCCUACAACAGCCACGUAAAGUUUCGGGAUGAUCCGACGUUCUUUCAUGGGGUUACGGACAAUCCACGCCAAACAAGCGUCACGGGCCGACCGAGCCGGGCCAACGGGCCCUCGGGACCCGAAAACUGAAUUUUUUUUCAUCCAAACCCAUUAAAACACGUUACCGAGGUCUCACGCAAAAUUUCAUGCCAAUCCGACGUCGUUUGAUGGGGUUUUGAGAUAUUAUGAUUCCUCAAAAAUUUAAUGUCUGUUCCUGUCACUUAGCUUUUUGUGCAAAAUGUAUAUAUAGGGGAGGGGUGGGUGUUGAGCAGCCCAUGCCCGGGCAAGGCAUGCCAGCGCCCAAGCCAAAGGAGGCUGGUGGCGUGCGUAUAACAGCUCAAAUGCCCCAACGAUGACCGAGAACAAGCGCCCAUCUCCCCUCCUUCCCCCCCACCAAGCGCCCCUCCCCCCCCAUGUUGCCUGCCCACUCGCACAGCUACUCGUGAUUUCAUGCCCAGCGACUAGUGAAUGUGCCUCGACGACCAGCAAACCUCGAAAAUUAUGAUUCCUCGUAAAAUUAAUGUCUGUUCCUGUCACUUUACUUUUUGUGCAAAAUGUAUAUAUAGGGGAGACCAGGGGCUUGAGCAACCCCUGUGCCCAAGCAAGGGUCAGAUGGAAGCACACGAGACGCGAGGUUUAAAGCCUAUACAAGCAAGGCGUCUGUCUCCCCAAGCCCCAUUGCCUAUAAAACAAGCCCGAUGCCUUGUAAAUGCCCCACACGAUGCCUAUAAACGACAACGAUGUUUGCUAGUUAAUCGAUCGACGCCCCACACCUUGCAGCAUGUUGCCUAGUAAACAAGCCAUGCUGCCUUGGAAGCGCCCCACAUCAUGGCAUGUUGCCUAGCACGCUGCCCUUGUUUCCAGCACGGCGACCUGAAAGCGUGGCCUGACGACGUGCUUGCCUUCGAAAAUUAUGAUUCCUCAAAAAAUUAAUGUCUGUUCCUGUCACUUUACUUUUUGU
rnacentral:rRNA from 1 species